ACCUGGUGACAGGGAGCGGAACCCGAAAGCCUGUCUCAGUUCGGAUUGGAGUCUGCAACUCGACUCCAUGAAGCUGGAUUCGCUAGUAAUCGCGAAUCAGAAUGUCGCGGUGAAUACGUUCCCGGGUCUUGUACACACCGCCCGUCACACCACGAGAGUUUACAACACCCGAAGUCAGUGGCCUAACCGCAAGGAGGGAGCUGCCUAAGGUGGGGUAGAUGAUUGGGGUGAAGUCGUAACAAGGUAAC
rnacentral:rRNA from 1 species